CACUCUUGUAGCUUAAGCCUAAAAGCGCUGGCCUUGUAAGACAGAAAUGGAAUAAUACACACCUUCCCAAGAG
rnacentral:tRNA from 1 species